UCUCGGGAAUCAUUUGGAAACAUAUGAGUGCCUCGCAAGAGGAGCCCGAUGACAGGUGCUGCAUGGCUGUCGUCAGCUCGUGUCGUGAGAUGUUGGGUUAAGUCCCGCAACGAGCGCAACCCUUGUCUUUAGUUGCCAUCAUUAAGUUGGGCACUCUAAAGAGACUGCCGGUGUCAAACCGGAGGAAGGUGGGAUGACGUCAAGUCCUCAUGGCCUUUAUGACCAGGGCUACACACGUACUACAAUGGCAGGUACAAAGGGCAGCCACUUAGCGAUAAGGCGCGAAUCCCAUAAAACCUGUCUCAGUCCGGAUUGGAGUCUGCAACUCGACUCCAUGAAGUUGGAAUCGCUAGUAAUCGCAGAUCAGCACGCUGCGGUGAAUACGUUCCCGGGCCUU
rnacentral:rRNA from 1 species